CUAGGUGGCCAUAUCGAAGAGGAAACACCCGGUCCCAUUCCUAACCCGGAAGUUAAGCUAUUCAAGGCUUAUGAUACUGUCUCCUUACGGGGACGGGAAAGUAAGUAGCUGCCUGAA
rnacentral:rRNA from 1 species